GACAUCGAUAUUCGACGUCAUAAACACGAAGAAGUUUGGUGUUUAUGGCGUCGGUAUUCGACGUCAUAAACACGAUCAAGUUUGGUGUUUAUGACGUCGAUAUUCGGCGUC
rnacentral:miRNA from 1 species